rnacentral:rRNA from 1 species
CACGUAGGGGACGAGCGUUGUCCGGAUUCAUUGGGCGUAAAGCGCACGUAGGCGGAUUUGUAAGUCAGGGGUGAAAUCCCGGGGCUCAACCUCGGAACUGCCUUUGAUACUGCAAAUCUCGAGUCCGGAAGAGGUGAGUGGAAUUCCUAGUGUAGAGGUGAAAUUCGUAGAUAUUAGGAAGAACACCAGUGGCGAAGGCGGCUCACUGGUCCGGUACUGACGCUGAGGUGCGAAGGCGUGGGGAGCAAACAGG